rnacentral:lncRNA from 1 species
UGCAAUUGGGUCUCUGCCUUACGAAUCGUGACAAGAACUGCCCACCGGAAACACGGAACAUGGGGAUCCAGAGAUGCCGAAACACCCUCCAGUUUGAAAGAAGAAGAAAGUCAUUCUAAGUCUGACAUUUGAAGCUAGAAAAGGAAUACAUUUCUGUGAGAUAUGAACCUGUUCUCUUUACUGAAUAAUUCUCUUUCUACAAAACGCUU